rnacentral:rRNA from 1 species
CCUACGGGAGGCAGCAGUGGGGAAUAUUGCACAAUGGUGGAAACCCUGAUGCAGCGACGCCGCGCGAGUGAAGAAGUAAUUGGUUAUCUAAAGCUCUAUCAGCCAGGAAGAAAAUGACGGUACCUGUGUACGAAUCCCCGUCUAACUACGUGCCAGCAGCCGCGGUACUACGGAGGGGGCCAGCGUUAUCCGGAUUUACUGGGCGUAAAGGGGGCGUAGACGGCAGUGCAAGUCUGGAGUGAAAGGCGGGGGCUCAACCCCCGGACUGCGGUGGAAACUGGACGGCUGGAGUGGAGGAGAGGUAAGUGGAAUGCGUAGUGUAGCGGUGAAAUGCGUAGAUAUUAGGAGGAACACCAGUGGCGAAGGCGGCUUACUGGACUGUAACUGACGUUGAGGCUCGAAAGCGUGGGGAGCAAACAGGAUUAGAUACCCCAGUAGUC